GCUCAUUAAACUAGUUAUAGUUUACUAGAACAGUAAAUUUUAAAUGGAUAACUGUGGUAAUUCUAGAGCUAAUACAUGCAAUAAAGUUUUGCCCACUUGUGGGAAAAACGCUUUUAUUAGAUCAAAACCAAUCGAAUAGAUACUACUAUUCGUUUAUUUGAUGACUCUGAAUAACACCGCAGAUUGCACAGUCUUUGUACUGGCAACAUAUCUUUCAAAUGCCUGACUUAUCAACUGUCGAUGGUAGAUUAUAUGUCUACCAUGGUUAUAACGGGUAACGGGGAAUCAGGGUUCGAUUCCGGAGAGGGAGCCUGAGAAACAGCUACCACAUCCAAGGAAGGCAGCAGGCACGCAAAUUACCCACUCCCAGAACGGGGAGGUAGUGACAAAAAAUAACGAUACGGGACUCAUCCGAGGCCCCGUAAUCGGAAUGAGUACACUUUAAAUCCUUUAACAAGGAUCUAUUAGAGGGCAAGUCUAGUGCCAGCAGCCGCGGUAAUUCUAGCUCUAAUAGCGUAUAUUAAAGUUGUUGCGGUUAAAAGGCUCGUAGUUGGUUCUGUGUGCCAUGCUGUUGGUUCACCGCCUGCCGGUGUAACUGACAUGUCAUGGGACGUCCUGUCGGUGGUAAUUAAAGCCCUAUCUUUUAGUUAGAAAGGCUUGCCUUCUAUCUAACUGUAGGUCACUUUAAUUACCGAUUACCUCCUGCCGCGGUGCUCUUUACUGAGUGUCGAGGUGGGCCGACACGUUUACUUUGAACAAAUUAGAGUGCUCAAAGCAGGCAAAAAUCUGCCUGAAUAGUGGUGCAUGGAAUAAUAGAAUAAGAUCUUGGUUCUGAUUUGUUGGUUUUUAAGAAUCCAAGGUAAUGAUCAAUAUGGACAGGCGGGGGCAUUCGUAUUGCGACGUUAGAGUGAAAUUCUUGGAUCGUCGCAAGACGAACUAGAGCGAAAGCAUUUGCCAAGUAUGUCUUAAUUGAUCAAGAACGAAAGUUAGAGGUUCGAAGGCGAUCAGAUACCGCCCUAGUUCUAACCAUAAACGAUGUCAGCCAGCGAUCCGCCGAUGUUUUUUUCAUGACUCGACAGGCANAGCUUCCGGGAAACCAAAGCUUUUGGGUUCCGGGGGAAGUAUGGUUGCAAAGCUGAAACUUAAAGGAAUUGACGGAAGGGCACCACCAGGAGUGGAGCUUGCGGUUCAAUUUGACUCAACACGGGAAACCUCACCACGCCCAGACAUUGGAAGGAUUGACAGAU
rnacentral:rRNA from 1 species